rnacentral:rRNA from 1 species
GAGUAACGCGUAGAUAACCUGUCUUCAUGUCUGGAAUAAUACGCCAAAGGGGUACUAAUACCGGAUAUUCUUGCUUUUCAUAAGUUAUGCAAGCAAAGGUGGCCUCUGCAUAUGCUACUGCAUGAAGAGGGGUCUGCGUACCAUUAGCUAGUAGGUGGGGUAAUGGCCUACCUAGGCGACGAUGGUUAGCGGGUCUGAGAGGAUGAUCCGCCACACUGGCACUGGAACACGGGCCAGACUCCUACGGGAGGCAGCAGUGAGGAAUAUUGCGCAAUGGGGGAAACCCUGACGCAGCGACGCCGCGUGAGUGAGGAAAAGGCCUUCGGGUCGUAAAGCUCUGUCAAGAGGAAAGAAGUGUACAAUGGCUAAUUACCUGUUGUAUUUGACGGUACCUCUAAAGGAAGCACCGGCUAACUCCGUGCCAGCAGCAGC